AAUUUGUGAAGCUGAAUGAAACGUUUUCGUGGGGAAUGACGUGUGGCCCGUAGCCAUGUAUCUUGGCAUGCCAGAAUUAUGCUCCGGACCAGGCUUCAUUCCCCUCGGCAACGUUGCAUGAUGGUAAUUAUGU
rnacentral:pre_miRNA from 1 species